UCCCCGGCGGUCCAGUGGUUAGGACUCAGGACUUUCACUGUGGUGGCCUAGGUUCAAUUCCUGGUUGGGGAA
rnacentral:tRNA from 1 species